rnacentral:rRNA from 1 species
UACGAAGGGGGCUAGCGUUGUUCGGAUUUACUGGGCGUAAAGCGCACGUAGGCGGAUACUUAAGUCAGGGGUGAAAUCCCGGGGCUCAACCCCGGAACUGCCUUUGAUACUGGGUAUCUCGAGUCCGGGAGAGGUGAGUGGAACUCCGAGUGUAGAGGUGAAAUUCGUAGAUAUUCGGAAGAACACCAGUGGCGAAGGCGGCUCACUGGCCCGGUACUGACGCUGAGGUGCGAAAGCGUGGGGAGCAAACAGG